GCAUAUCAAUAAGCGGAGGAAAAGAAACUAACAAGGAUUCCCCUAGUAACGGCGAGUGAAGCGGGAAGACCUCAAAUUUGAAAUCUGGUGGCCUCAGGUCAUCCGAGUUGUAAUCUAAAGAAGUGUUUUCCGUGCUGGCUCAUGUACAAGUCCCUGGGAACAGGGCGUCAUAGAGGGUGAGAAUCCCGUCCUUGACAUGAACUACCAGUGCUCUGUGAUACAUUUUCAACGAGUCGAGUUGUUUGGGAAUGCAGCUCAAAAUGGGUGGUAAAUUCCAUCUAAAGCUAAAUAUUGGCGAGAGACCGAUAGCGAACAAGUACCGUGAGGGAAAGAUGAAAAGCACUUUGGAAAGAGAGUUAAACAGUAUGUGAAAUUGUUGAAAGGGAAACGAUUGAAGUCAGUCGUGCUCUUUGGAUUCAGCCGGUUCUGCCGGUGUACUUCCUUUGAGUGGGGUCAACAUCAGUUUUGAUCGCUGGAUAAAGGCUGGAGGAACGUAGUACCCUCGGGUAAACUUAUAGCCUCCUGUCACAUACAGUGGUUGGGACUGAGGAACGCAGCACGCCUUUAUGGCCGGGAUUCGUCCACGUACGUGCUUAGGAUGUUGACAUAAUGGCUUUAAACGACCCGUCUUGAAACACGGACC
rnacentral:rRNA from 1 species